GCAGUUAUGGAGAGUGACAUGCGAGAAUCCGGAGAGGAUCAGGUUUGGAAAAUUGAAGCAUUGCUUCAACCAAGGGCAGCGAAUUGAAGAAAAGGUUUAAAAGGCGGUAAGCUGCUUAUUUUGGGGGACUUGAUUCGGGAAUUGGGGUUUUUAUAGAAAUUUCUUUUGAGUGGAAGUAGGGAAAAAAGUUAGGAGUUGAUCUGGGCCUGACUAGGAGCCUAACAGGGAGAGAGAAAAUUAGUAGUUUUUCUGAACAGAUAAGAGCUUGGGGCAUGUUACCUUUAGAAUUAAAUUGCAGCUUUCUUGAUUGAUUGUGGACUAUGUAUGGAAAAUUUGAAAAGUUAAUCUCAUCUGUAAAUCAUUGAUAGCAUUGACUGCUACAGAUAAAAAUUUGGUGCCUGUAGAGUUUAUACAUGGAUUGGGGGCGACGGUAGCAUGAAAUCUCACUAUUGAACUUUUUUAUUUUGCUGAUAGCUGUGAAGUUGUUGUCAUCAUGCUAUGAACAUAUCUUGGGCAUUUUCCAGUAUAUGAACAUAUAUGAUCCAUACUGCUUGGUGAAAAUGAUUUCUUUUGGCAUCAUUAAUGUAAUUUUUCAUAGUCUUGUAAGCCAUUUUUCAUAAAUUUGAAAGUUAUGUUUCUCUUUAAUAUCAUUGAGAAGAUUUCAUGAACUUGCACGGAUUCAAAUAAAAAAUCACUUCAAAAAGUGACUCACAAAUUGUUUGUUACUAUCUUUUGAGUUUUAAGCAUUAUGACCUCAUUCGAUAUAUGUUAUGUUCCUCCAAGCACAAGAAGACUGGUGUACCUUGUUUCAUUUCUAUUUAUUACCGUCCUAGCCUGUUCUGCUCGUUUUUAUUGAAUCUUCUAUUUGCUAUUCCGCCGCAUUCAUUCUACUUUGCAAGUUUCUGGACUGCUGGCCAGAGGAUAACCAGAGAAUAUUAGAUCCAUCUGUGCAGAUGCCUUGUGAAUGAUAUGUAAAGACGGGUUUUGCUUCAACUGGCAGGAAGUAAGGUGCCUCCUGAAUGAUGUGUAAUGACAGGUUUUGUUUCGACAGGCAGGAAGUAGGGUGUUUUCUUCCUUCUCUGCUCCUGCAGGUUGUCUUGGGAGGUUACAUCUUUCUUUGGGGUUUUUUGUUAUGGUCUUUAUUUCUCUGUUCGUACUUGGGUUUGGAAGAGGUGCCUGGUGUUAUAUUUUAGCCUCCCCCGAAUUAAGAAAUGUGAUGAGUUCUACGUGGGUGUUGUGAUGUCUGUUUGUGGGUGGUUUUGGUCAAGGUGUGUCCUAUUUGAGCUUGUCUUUGUGCAAGUGAGUCGAGAUGAGGUUGUCACCUAUUGUCCAUCGAUGUUAUGCUCUUUCUUGACGGACCUUUUUUUUUCUUCCUAUGACUGUCUAUCCUUUUUGGAAGUUUCAUAUUUGGCCUCAUCAUUGAGGUUGGGAAGGAUUUAAUGUCUGCUGCCGCCUCCGAUCAUCCUGCUUUACGCCCUUGAUCCUUAGGCCCUAGCUCCUCGUUCACAGUUUCCUUGCAGACGUUGUAGUUUCAAUGCCAGUCAUCCAAAAGCUUCAUAAGAAUGGGUUAAAGUUGACAGUUAAUAGCUUUAACGACUACCUUUUAUGGCCGAACUCCUAUUCGAUAUCAACUCUAGCUGCAUCUGCUAGACAUAUAUGUUGUAACACCCCGCUUAUUACCAUGCUAAAAUGUAUUUGGAAAACCUUAUUUACUCAAGUUUUAAGGUCACAUUGAACUCA